CGGUCCUGAGUUCUACAAUCUUCACUUUUAGAAAUCAGCACUCAACACAGACCUGUCACUAUGAAGUUGUGGCUGAACUGGGUUUUUCUUGUAACACUUUUACAUGGUAUCCACUGUGAGGUAAAGCUGGUAGAAUCUGGAGGAGCAUUGGUACAGCUUGGGGGUUCUCUGACACUCUCCUGUGCAGCUUCUGGGUUCACCUUCAGUGAUUUCUACAUGCAUUGGGUCCGCCAGGAUCCAGGGAAGGGACUGGAAUGGAUUGCUGCAAGUAGAAACAAAGCUAAUAGUUAUACAACAGAGUACAAUGCAUCUGUGAAAGGCCGGUUCACCAUCUCCAGAGACACUUCCCAAAGCAUCCUCUACCUUCAGAUGAAAACCCUGAGAUCUGAAGACACUGCCACUUAUUACUGUGCAAGAGAUGCUCACAGUGAGGCGACUUCAGUGUUAGCCCAAACAAAAACUACAGGAUUUCUCAGUAUCAACAGGGGGCGCACAUGA